GCACCAGCAGAGUAUGAUCCGGUGCCCCAACCGCCGCAUCACCCGGCACUACCACAGUACAAUUUGGUGCCUCCACUGUAUCAUCAAGUACCACUGCAGGGUCAUCCAGUCCAUCCUCAACACAGUCCAAUCCAUCAUCCACGGGACCUAAGUCCUCUCAUGAUGGACCCAGGCUACAUAGAAAGGGGAAUCCUCCUUUAAAAAGGCCAAGUUCUGGUUAAUUGAGACAGAGAAGACAUUAAAGACUCUUGGAGUGAUUCUCGAAUAGAAUGUCAUCCUUGCUACUUA
rnacentral:lncRNA from 1 species